UCAAUUUUGUUCGAACUCAAGAUCCUCUCUCCCUUUCUCGCACUCUAUUUGUUUGUGUGUCUCUCUGUCACUCUCCCUAUCACAUCUGCCCACUUCGACGCCACGCCCUCUCCCCGACGCCACAACAUUACUAGAUGUCGAACUUAAUAUCAAACCGACGAGCAGUCUGACACCUUCUCCAGGAGGUAGUGCGGCUGCGACCUCCACACUUGAUAUGGCCAUGACGGGUGUCCAUUCGGUCAAGAAUUUGGGGCCAAUAGUGUCUACGGCUCCUGCGUCAUUGACUUCUUCAAUGACGCAUCCUGUACUAAGCACCUGAAAGACUCAUCGACGGCCCCGGAGUUCUGAGGAGGCCCAGCAGUCUGGUGAGGCUUCCUCUGUCCAUGGAGAGGGGUCUUAGACAGGU